CACGUAGGGCGCAAGCGUUGUCCGGAAUUAUUGGGCGUAAAGAGCUCGUAGCGGUCUGUUGCGUCCGCUGUGAAAACUCGGGGCUUAACCCCGAGCCUGCAGUGGAUACGGGCAGACUAGAGGUAGGUAGGGGAGAAUGGAAUUCCCGGUGUAGCGGUGAAAUGCGCAGAUAUCGGGAGGAACACCAGCGGCGAAGGCGGCACUCUGGGCUGGAACUGACGCUGAGGAGCGAAAGCGUGGGGAGCGAACAGG
rnacentral:rRNA from 1 species